rnacentral:misc_RNA from 1 species
CUCCCCUCGAGCGCGGCUUCACGGCCUGUCGCCCGGUGUUGGGGCGCUACGGUGGAGCCCCGCGCUCCCCCCGUAGGCCCCGAAAUGUAGUGGCGGUCCCGCCGCGGCGCCCCCUGCGUAGUAGUCUUACAACUCGCAUCGGGACCCGGCGGAGGCCAGCCGUCAAACCCCCAACUUCAAUA